rnacentral:sRNA from 1 species
CAGAGACCAAACUAUUUAUGAAGCUACUGUAGCUAAAAGUAAGUUCAUCAACAUCUGGACAAUUGGAGUCUCCAAGGCUGUUGACCAAUCUGAACUUGAGAGCAUAGCCAGUAAUGGAAGAAACCAGACAUAUCUUCUUGCUGAUUAUCAAGAAUUUUCUGAAAAGUUGAAACUUGUUACUUACGAGGCCUGCGGAAGGAAAUGUUACAACUACCUGGAUCUUGUCAUUCUGAUUGACGGUUCAAACAGUGUGGGUGAAGACACAUUCAGAUCUGCUCUUCAAACUGUGGCUAAUGCUGUUGAUAGUUUGGAGUUUGGGCCAUCCUACACUAGAGUGGCUGCAAUUGUUUAUAGUGAUGAUGUUGACAGUUUUAUGCCAUU